rnacentral:rRNA from 1 species
AUGCUGCCACCAGAGUCGACUGUCGUACCACCGCUCCGCCGUCGCAGCCCACCACCGCGUCGACGAACCACGGUGCCACCGUUGACACAAUCCGCACUUCCGUCAUCGCCCACCACCGUUACCAUCAGAGCCGCUGUGAUCUCAGAAAGAGAUUCAUUGAUAAGUAAGACCCAUAUGUUAGAUUUAAUAAUGGGAAAGAAUUAUUGGGCUCUGAAAAAACAUCUCACCUCUAAACUUCUCAAUUAUUGGGACAGGCCCAAUAACUACUUAUUCAGGAGUUUUUUUCUUUUUGGGGAUGAGGCUCUCUUAGAGAUGCUCUAA